GCGGCUGUGGCGGAACUGGUAGACGCGCACGGUUCAGGUCCGUGUGGGCGAGAGCCCGUGAAGGUUCGACUCCUUUCAGCCGCA
rnacentral:tRNA from 1 species